rnacentral:lncRNA from 10 species
CUGAUGUAACAGAUUGCCAAGGCCUGUCGAUGUUACCUUCUAAAGAUCUCCUGAACCUGCCCACUUUUCUCCAGCGCCCACACCCUCGCCACACUAGUCCAGCCACAAUCUUCUGUUGCCUAGAUGACCCCAGCAGCUCCCUCCCCGCCUGCCUCCUCCAUUCUGCUUUCACUUUUGUCUCCUCUACCCAGCAGCCAGAGUGAGCAUAUAAAAUGCAGUUCUGAUCCUGUCACCUCUCUGCUUAAAACUCUUCAGAGGUUCACCAUCGCUUCCAGAAAAAGAUCAAUACUCCUGACGUGGCAACCUGUCGAGACUCAGGACCGCUAGGAAAUCAGCUCUUGUUUACCCCUCUAUCCAUUACACUACGAUCCAGCUGGGUUUAGGCAUCACUUCCUCUGAGCAAUCCUCCCUGAUGUCAUGAGGCAGUGCUGAGUGCCUUCUCUGGACCCUCUGUUUACUUGCCUGUUAAAUCCUGAACAUCUGGAAGGGAGUCGUGUUCAGCAACAUAUCUACGCCUUGCAGCACGGUGCCUGGCCUGCAGCUGGUGUUCCGUAAACAGCUGCUGACUGACGGGAUGCAUCGGUGAGUCAAUCAAUUAACUCUCUCUCACAAUAGGAGGAUGAAGCUCAGAGAAUAUCCAAUUGGCCAUCCUUCCCCAGAGGCCAGAAAAUGCUGUGGCUUGAGUUCCCUGGGGCUUUGCCUGCCCUGGUUGGGAUGGCUUUCUGCCCCAGAGUUCUCUGGAACUUGCAAGUCUGGAGUUUUCUGACCCAGGAGUUAUCUGUGUCAGAAAAAGAACCUGGCUUUCAGAAUCUUCUGUGUAUUAUAAGGUGG